AUACGGAGGGUGCAAGCGUUACUCGGAAUCACUGGGCGUAAAGCGCAUGCAGGCGGUCUAAUAAGUUGGAAGUGAAAGCCUAUGGCUCAACCAUAGAACUGCUUCCAAAACUGUUAGACUAGAGUCUGGGAGGGGAAGAUGGAAUUAGUAGUGUAGGGGUAAAAUCCGUAGAGAUUACUAGGAAUACCAAAAGCGAAGGCGAUCUUCUGGAACAGUACUGACGCUGAGAUGCGAAAGCGUGGGGAGCAAACAGGAUUAGAUACCCUAGUAGUCC
rnacentral:rRNA from 1 species